rnacentral:misc_RNA from 1 species
GUAAAUUUUAGUCUGCAAAAUCUGCAAUUCUAUAUCCUCUAGAUAAAUUUGAACCUACUAACAAGUUAACAGCUAUUGAAGUACAAUCAAUGGCAAAGAUGUAUAUUGGACUGGGUCCAGGUCACAGCAAUAGCUCAUUUAGAAUAGCCACGAAAUGAAGUCCAGCAAUUUAUCUUUUAAGUUCGGUAUAUCUGAGUUCAUUGUUCCAAUGGUCCAAAACAAUCUGGUGGCCAGACUCUCAAAAACACUUUCCCUUCAAUCAGACCGUAAGGUACAGGCCCGAAAUGCCGCGAAUCACUAGAAGCAUACACAUUAUCUCCUUGAAUCCACACAUGCCCUUUCGGAACCACAGCCGACUGAUACCGAUUGGAAUUGGCAGGGUCCGGAAAGAAAUUGAC